AUGCAAAGCGAUCUAUGGUCUCAACAAGCCCCGAUAGCGUCGGUUUUUGAAGUUCAGCACAGUGGUUAUGUUAUCCAGGCAGGGUUUGCUCGGAGUGAUCAUGAUUCGGCCAUGUUCGUAUUAGUUUAUCCUCGAGGACGUGCUAUUCUGUUGUUGUAUGUUGAUGAUAUCAAACUGACUGGUGAUUACUCCGUUACCAUAUCGCUGAUCAAGUGUCGCCUUCAUCAAUUAUUUGCUAUGAAGGCGCUGACGCGCCCUAAGCCUUUUCUUGGCUUGGAGGUCGCACAUUCUCCUCGUGGAUAUUUGGUAUCUCAGAUCAAAUAA
rnacentral:rRNA from 1 species